GGUGGUUCUCAGGUGAUCCACCCUGGAAUCGGGCUCCCUCUUUGGUUCUGGGUGCGUCACCCAAGGACUGCC
rfam:Myotis davidii contig99698, whole genome shotgun sequence.